rnacentral:rRNA from 1 species
GAUGAACGCUGGCGGCGUGCCUAAUACAUGCAAGUCGAGCGAACAGACGAGGAGCUUGCUCCUCUGACGUUAGCGGCGGACGGGUGAGUAACACGUGGAUAACCUACCUAUAAGACUGGGAUAACUUCGGGAAACCGGAGCUAAUACCGGAUAAUAUAUUGAACCGCAUGGUUCAAUAGUGAAAGACGGUUUUGCUGUCACUUAUAGAUGGAUCCGCGCCGCAUUAGCUAGUUGGUAAGGUAACGGCUUACCAAGGCAACGAUGCGUAGCCGACCUGAGAGGGUGAUCGGCCACACGGGAACUGAGACACGGUCCAGACUCCUACGGGAGGCAGCAGUAGGGAAUCUUCCGCAAUGGGCGAAAGCCUGACGGAGCAACGCCGCGUGAGUGAUGAAGGUCUUCGAAUCGUAAAACUCUGUUAUUAGGGAAGAACAAAUGUGUAAGUAACUAUGCACGUCUUGACGGUACCUAAUCAGAAAGCCACGGCUAACUACGUG